AUUGAACGCUAGCGGGAUGCUUUACACAUGCAAGUCGAACGAGUGGCGGACGGGUGAGUAAUAUAUCGGAACGUGCCCAGUAGCGGGGGAUAACUUCUCGAAAGAGUGGCUAUUACCGCAUAAUAGUGGAGCGGCCGCUAUCGGCUUAGCUAGUUGGUGGGGUAAAGGCUCACCAGGGCAAUGAUCCGUAGCUGGUUUGAGAGGACGACCAGCCACACUGGUACUGAUGCACGGCCCAGCCUCAUACGGGAGGCAGCGGUGGGGAAUUUGGGACAAUGGGGGAAACCCUGAUCCAGCCAUCCCGCGUGUAUGAGAAGGCCUUCGGGUUGUAAAGUACUUUUGGCAGAGAAGCGGUAUCUGCAGAAUAAGCACCGGCUAACUACGUGCCAGCAGCCGCGGUAAUUC
rnacentral:rRNA from 1 species